UGUGCUCUUAUGCACGCCCCUUACGGACCUUACACCCCUUACAGGAUGUGGUGGAUUGGACUUAAUAGCUAAACAGCCUCGGGGCUUGUUUGGCCUGAGCUCCGCAUAUUUCCGCGAAAUUAGUUUCCUAAACCACGACACACGACUUAAAGGGCUGUAGGCGAACCUUUGAAAGGGGCUUCUAAAUCCCCCUUGAAGGCGUCCCCGCGACCCGAGCCUCCCUUUCGGAGUGUCGGUUACGAAGGGCCAGGACAGCGCCACUGACCCGUUAAACGUCCCCGAGCCACCAUGGGACAGAAAAAGCGUCUUUAAACUGAAGAAACCUCUCGCUAAAGCUGCUCCACAGCCGGGGAAAGGUGGGGAGGCGCAGGGACGGCCGAGGACUACAAGCUCCACCUCCCGGUCCGCCGCUCUCCAAAGCAGAAAAGCUGCCUCACAGGGCCGCUCUGAAAGAAAAUAACGGUCCUGAAAUAACGGUCGUGCCUGCCUGCCUGCCGCCGAAGGGCAUGUAGUUCAGCGGCGGCGGUGCUCAGCCGUGAGGCGGGGGAAGGGAAGGUCUGUAAUUUGCCCUGCAGGAAGAAUUGCCCCGGUUUGCUUUUUUCUGUAUUUCCCGCGCAAGGAAAUCCUUGGAGGAGAUCCUGAGCUCUGCAGCCCCCACCCUCCGAGGAGCCGGAGGGCUGAAAUAGUUGGAAGCCGUCGCCUUCUUUCGCUUUCCCCCUACCUUUGCAAAAAGAGAGAAAUCAAAAAGAUAGAGGAAUAAAAAUCCAAAGAGGCUCCCACCAGGAAGACUUUCGUGGGUUGUAAUAGACCAGAUCACAGCCCAGAUCAAUGCUACUGCUACCACUGGAAGAAGAAAAAAGGGUAAAAUAUAUUUACAGAGUCAGCAUAUUGCCCCCAACAAUCUGGGUCCUCAUUUUAUCGACCUCAGAAGGAUGGAAGGCUGAACUGGACAGAAUCGAACUGUCAAACUGCUGGCAGUCGGCAAUAGAGCAGAAUUAGCCUGCAGUACUGCAUUCUAACCACUGCACCACCACAGCUCAUAGUAUAUACAGGUAUAUUAUUCUGGAGUAACUCAUUACUCAAAAGUAACGCAAUCACUACAUAGUCUGGCCUGGUAGUGAGACUGAUUGGAAUACUAAGGUUCUGUAGCAGACUGGGAAGUUGAAAAAGCAUCCUGGAAAAUGGCAAUAUUUGAUCGUGAAAACCGUCUAGCCAACAUUCCAUCUCAGGAAUGAUUCACAAGAAGCAUCUAUAGCAAGCCCACAAAUAGAGUAUCAAGUCUCUUCUCCCACUGUCAAUUCCAUGAAUCUAGUAUGUUAAGAGGCAGCAGCCAAUAAUUAAAGCCAUUUUAAAAGACUUGUAAACUAGCAGCCAAUAAUAUGUCCUGAAGCAGCACAUUCUAAAAGUUGAUUAUACACUGUAUGGAAAAGCAUCAAUUUUGAAUCUUCUGCUAGACAUUUUCAUAGAACAGUCUCUAAUCUAGUAUUAUGGGAUAUGGAGAACUUCUUCCUAUCAACCAUGCACACUUUUAUGCACCUUAGUCAUAUCUUCUUGUGUCAUUUCUCCCGGCUAAACAGUCCCAAUCACUGCAUCCUAUCCUCACAGGGAAGACGUUCAAACCCACUCAUCUCCUAGAUUACCUUUUCCCCACCUUCCCAGCAACAUGAUAUUCCUCUUGUGAUACGGUGACUAGAAUACUGUCCUGUACACAAUACUCUAGAUGUAACUUCUCCAUAGAUUUAUAUGAGGCCAUUAUUAUCAGAACCAGAUUGCGGUCAAUCUUUUCUAAUGAUCCAAAGCAUAACAUUCGCCUCCUUUAAAAGCACUGCA